ACAGAUCGUUCAGAGUUUGAUCCUGGCUCAGGAGAACGCUGGCGGCGUGCUUAAUACAUGCAAGUCGAGCGGACCCAGCAGAUUGUCUCUGGUUUCCAGAGACAAACUGCGACGGUUAGCGGCGAACGGGUGAGUAACGCGUGGGUAAUCUGCCCCCAAGACCGGGAUAACAGUGCGAAAGCGCUGCUAAUACCGGAUAAUCUCUUCUUGUCGCAUGAUAGGGAGAGCAAAGCUCCGGCGCUUGGGGAUGAGCCCGCGUUCCGUUAGCUAGUUGGUGAGGUAACGGCUCACCAAGGCGACGAUGGAUAGCCGGCCUGAGAGGGUGACCGGCCACACUGGGACUGAGACACGGCCCAG
rnacentral:rRNA from 1 species